GAACGCACAUUGCACUCUGUUUCGGCAGAGUAUGCCUGUUUGAGAAUCUAUAGUAUUCAUUUUCCUAGUCUAUUGUUUUUCAGUGGACUUUGAAAGAUUUGAGGCAUUGCUCUUACCCAGCGCGCCUUUAAAACUAUAGCUGCUUGUAUGGUAGUAGUGUUUGACACUCUAUUUGAAUGCCGAAAUGUAUUGAAUAACCGCAAGGUUUCUCUAUGCAAAUUACGUGUUUGUAGGGUUUAGCUGCUGCAGUAAAGGCACCCAACUAUUAAAGACUAGUGUCUCUUUAUGAGGUGUUAGUCUUGAACCAUGGUCUCAAAUCAGGUAGGAAGACCCGCUGAACUUAAG
rnacentral:misc_RNA from 1 species